GACGAACCACACAAACGUUAUUCGGAAUUACUGGGCUUAAAGGGCGCGUAGGCGGGUUCCCAAGUCGGUGGUGAAAUCUUUCGGCCCAACCGGAAAACAGCCGCCGAUACUGGGGACCUCGAGGGAGGUAGGGGUCGAGGGAACUUCCGGUGGAGCGGUGAAAUGCGUAGAUAUCGGAAGGAACGCCGGUGGCGAAAGCGCUCGACUGGACCUCUUCUGACGCUGAGGCGCGAAAAGCCCAGGGGGAGCAAACGGG
rnacentral:rRNA from 1 species